rnacentral:ncRNA from 2 species
AACAAAGCGUUGAUAGGAAGUAGUAACAGUCUUUUCUUUCUAAGAGAGCUGAUGGUUGGUGCAAAUCAGUGAAAGACUGCUGUGAAUCCAUCCUGGAGCAGGUAUGUGGUCGUAAAUCAUACCCGGCUAUCACUCAUGAGCCGUUAUCUUAAAAUGAAGCCGGAAGGAAGUGUUUCCUUCAAUCAGGGUGGUAUCGCGGGAAAAAACUCUCGUCCCUUAC